rnacentral:rRNA from 1 species
GGACUACUGGGGUAUCUAAUCCUGUUUGCUCCCCACGCUUUCGCGCCUCAGCGUCAGUCUCGGUCCAGAGCGCCGCCUUCGCCACCGGUGUUCUUCCCAAUAUCUACGAAUUUCACCUCUACACUGGGAAUUCCACGCUCCUCUCCCGAACUCCAGCACGACAGUCCCAAGCGCACCUCCCAGGUUGAGCCCGGGGCUUUCACGCCUGACUUGCCGCGCCGCCUACGCGCCCUUUACGCCCAGUAAAUCCGAACAACGCUCGCCCCCUUCGUAUUACCGCGGCUGCUGGCAC